rnacentral:snRNA from 1 species
GAAGCGGCGAGAUCGAGUGACU